GUGGGGAAUCUUGCGCAAUGGACGAAAGUCUGACGCAGCGACGCCGCGUGGGUGAUGAAGGCCUUCGGGUUGUAAAGCCCUGUGGGGAGGGACGAAUAAGUCUGACCUAAUACGUCAGGCGAUGACGGUACCUCUUUAGCAAGCACCGGCUAACUCUGUGCCAGCAGCCGCGGUAAGACAGAGGGUGCAAACGUUGUUCGGAAUUACUGGGCGUAAAGCGCGUGUAGGCGGUCGGGCAAGUCGGAUGUGAAAGCCCAGGGCUCAACCCUGGAAGUGCACUCGAUACUGCUCGGCUAGAGUCCCGGAGAGGAUGGUGGAACUCUCGGUGUAGAGGUGAAAUUCGUAGAUAUCGAGAAGAACACCGGUGGCGAAGGCGGCCAUCUGGACGGUGACUGACGCUGAGACGCGAAAGCGUGGGGAGCAAAC
rnacentral:rRNA from 1 species